ACCCAGUGACUUCCAUUCACGGACGGUCUCUUUUUUUUAGCGGAGGCAUAAACUGUGAUUUACGACCACCUGCUUCGCUCACACCUGAUCGUAAUCCCACAUUAACUUUAUCAAAUUAUUUUCUUAUUUUUCCUAAAUUGAUUUCAAAGAGUUUUUCUUUUCUAUUCUUCUUCGUGCAUCUAUUUACUGAAGUUUUGCAGUUUUUCCAUUUGGUUUGAAUCUGCACAAACUUUUUGAAACAAGUUUAAGGGUACCACUCCCCUGACAACAACCACACUUAAAAAAAAACUAGUCUGACUGGUUUACAUAUAAUAGGCGACAAACAAAACAAUUUGGGUGGGUUCUGAGAAAGAAGGUGUGUCGGAGGAUUUAAAAGGAUCCAGUCUGCAUUUCCUCCUCACUUCCAUUUUGUCCAUCUCCUUUGGUCAAGCAAGUCCCGCAAACUUUCGACACCAUGACUACAAUCUUUGAGGCAAUCGCAAUUCUGAGGAAAGUUUUUGACAAGUAUGCUGGGAAAGAAGGAGAUGCAAAAACUCUGACAAAGAAGGAACUCACAGAUCUGCUCAAAGAGCAGCUUGGAGGGGCUCCUCCAAAACAAGCAGAAAUGGACAAGUUCUUCAAAAUGCUGGAUGAGGAUGGCGAUGGCGUUGUCGAUUUCAACGAGUAUGUGGUCCUAUGCGCAAGCUUGGCUAUGAUGUUGGCCCCCUAAAGGAAAGAACAGUCUUUGUCCUGGUUUACUUCACUUAAAAUAAUGUUUAAAAAAAAAAGGUAACAACCAUGCACUACUGUGGAAACUCUUGAGAAAAUGUGCUUUUUUUUGUUUUUUUUCCAUGAAACCUGACCUUGUUUGAAAUGUAAUUGCAUGCAAUUUGACUGUUUGGAUUUCAAGAAAAUGCAAAUAAAAAUCUCUUUCUCUAAA